GGCUUCCUCGUGCUCGCUACAGGCUGUGCUCUGACGCUAUGAGCAGGAGGCAGAGUAAACGCACCCCACUUGUGCCUCGGCCCAGGCCCUAUGCCUGGUCUGAGUUGUGAAUGGCAGAACAUGG
rnacentral:snoRNA from 1 species